AAGUCGUAACAAGGUUUCCGUAGGUGCGGAAGGAUCAUUAACACGUAUCCAAACGUUAAACCCCCCUGUGAACCUUCACCUGUACUCGUACGUCCGUUAGAAAAAGCAGCAAUCCCUGGUAAAUCAUCGACGAACAGUUUUCGAUUCAGGGAUGUCUGCAAGGAGCGUGCAUGUUGUGCGAGCAAGUGGCCUGGCAUCCCCAAGCAGUUAGUGUCUGAAAGUGUCAUUCACUGUGUAAGGAUGACGCAGUCACGAUCGUUGGAGGCCCACACGGCCGACGACCGGGUCACUGGGCGCAAGCCCCCCUAUAACAAACGCUGCUAAUCGCGGCCGCGAUAAUACGCAGUCGACCAAAAACCGAACAACUGUUAACAAUGGAUAUCUUGGUUCUC
rnacentral:misc_RNA from 1 species